GGGCUCGAACGUAAGAUGACUGUAGGUGAAAGCUUACAUCUCUUCGGAGCAUUUUACGAGGUGCUGCAUGGUUGUCGUCAGCUCGUGCCGUGAGGUGUCGGGUUAAGUCCCAUAACGAGCGCAACCCUACCCUUUAGUUGCCAUCAGGUAAUGCUGGGGACUCUAAAGGAACUGCCUACGCAAGUAGUGAGGAAGGCGGGGAUGACGUCAAAUCAGCACGGCCCUUACGUCCAGGGCUACACACGUGCUACAAUGGCCGAUACAGAGGGCAGCUACCUGGUGACAGGAUGCAAAUCUCCAAAGUCGGUCUCAGUUCGGAUCGGAGUCUGCAACCCGACUCCGUGAAGUUGGAUUCGCUAGUAAUCGCGCAUCAGCCAUGGCGCGGUGAAUACGUUCCCGGGCCUU
rnacentral:rRNA from 1 species